rnacentral:misc_RNA from 1 species
AAGUCGUAACAAGGUUUCCGUAGGUGAACCUGCGGAAGGAUCAUCAUUGUAUCAAAUCUUUAUACACCCUUGUGAACUGUGCAGACGCUACCACCAUGUGUGUGUGCGUCUGCGUCCACUAAUUUUGGAUGUGUUGGCGCGAUUAGUGUAUGUGAUGCCUGUGUACGCAUAUUGACCAGUUUGUGUCAAGAGCGUGUGCUCGUGUCCUCUGCUGCGCGCCACCAUCCGCUGUGAAAACAAACACCUUUUAAACAAAUCUUUAAGCUGAUAAAUUUUAUUAUAUAAUUAAAACAACUUUCAACAAUGGAUCUCUUGGCUCUC